rnacentral:lncRNA from 1 species
AGGCGGACGCGCCCGGGCUGCAGAGUGCUGAGCCCGGCCUUGGGGUCCGCUUCUCCCCAACAGCUGCUCCCUGCCCUCUCUGAGGUCUCGCCGACUGCAGCCCUUUUGUGUCAGAACGAAUUUUCUGCACAGUCAUUCCGCUCGCUGACCAGCAACAUGUUAUCCCUGCGGCCUGCCUGAUGAUUUGAGGAAAAGAAUUGAGAGUCCUACUGAAUCUCCAUACAAGUGACAGUCUCACAAGGCAAGGUAAGGUUUUGGGGCGCAACAUCUAUCCUGUGAGGAUUUUCAAGAGAAAAGGAUAGAAGAUUUCCAGUAAAAAGCAUGGACAGAGAUUUCAAGGCAAAAGAAGAAAGAGAAGUCUUAGCCAGAGGAAAAGACACCUGAUGAUAACAAGGCAUUUCAGCCAUGAACCUUCCUAUGGGUGAAGAAAACAUUCCUCUUUGGUCUCUGCUAUUUCUGGCACCAACAUACAGUUAGUGAGACACCUCACUUGCUUCUGAACCUGCAAAUGCGAAAAAGCCAGCAAAAGUGGCAAGGAUCAAACUCAGGUCCUCGCGCUUGGGAGGCAGGCGGCGGCACCGCUGAGCUAAAUCCCCGGCCCCCAUACUACUCUUUUCUGUGCCUGUUUUGAAAACAGUACAACUUGGAAAGGACCUUUCCACGACCUGCACCUGCCAAGCUUGUGUUGACCUGCGUGGAGCUGGGAGCGAUAGAUGAGCUGUACGCGCGGCUCGGCCAACAGGAAAUACGUCAUCAGACUGCGCAGCAGGCUCGGCCGCGGGCGCUCUGGAAGCUGCCACAAGGUGAGCAGCUGUGCUCUGCCACCCCCAUCUGCCAUGAUGUUUUGUCCUUGCCAAAGGUUAAAAGCAAUGGAUACAGCUGACCAUGGGCCUGAAACUGUAAGCCAAAAUAAUGUUUUGGGGACAAGGUCUCGCUAUGUAGUCACAUCAGCCUGGCCUUGAAUUCAUUUUGUGGCUCUCACUGACCUCACAGCCAUCCUCCCAGCUCAGCCUUCUGAGUGCUGGAAUUAUAGGUGCAUGCAGCCAAAAUAAACCUACUGAGUUGAUUUCUCAAGUAUUUUGUCACAGCAACAGAAAGCUGCCUAACAACUUCACAUCUCUCAAAGGUCUGUUCCUGGAGUCCAGAAGGUAGAUCUUCAAAUGUUGGCCACGGGAGAGUUAAUUACAACAACUGCUUUCGAAAACAGUGUUCUGGUACCUACAAAACAGUAGGCAUCUUACACACCAUGCAUUCUGCUCUGCAGUGAAUUGCAAGCACAGUGCAUCAGAAUCUAUGCACAUAAAAGUGUAUAGCAGUGAUGGCAAAAAUUUUAGAGCUUUCUAUGAUUAACAGACAAGCUGGGUGUGAUGGUGCACACCUAUUAUUCCAGCACUCUCAAGGUUGAGGCUGGAGGAUCGCCGAGAGUUUGAGGCCAGCUUGAACUACACAGGAAGACCCUGUCUCAGAAAACAAAACAAAACAAGUCCAAAAGGUGAUACCUGUGAAGAGGAAAUAGAGACUCUUUCUUGGAAAGAUUUAUUGAGUUUGUCUUGGUAGGAGUCAGUGACAUAAAUGUAUGGUUAUUUUACUUUUGUUCUUGCAUUUUAUAUCUUUUUUAAAAUUUUUAUAAUAACUGGGAAAAUAUGAUAACAUUUUAUCCUUCUGGGAAAUGUGUGGGUAGAAGAAAAAGAGACAGUCCUGCUCACCAACCCACAUCUUGUUGAGCCCAUCUUUGGUAGAGUAGAUUUUUAUAUUCAGCAAUGUGAAAACUGAAAGUGAGGGUUUUGUAUGAAUAACUUUAUGCCCAAGAGGACAUUUGAGUGCUGAGCUGAGAUGGAGUCUUGUGCUUUACUUUAGGUGAUUUUUUUUUGACUACUUAAAUGCAAAUUCUCUAAAACUAACUAUAAUCCUAUUGCACUGUGAACACAGUAAGAAAAAAAAUUUGUAUUAUUUUCCCCGUAUGCUUAACUAGGUUUGGCUAUGAUGGCUUAUACUGAAGUUAUUCAGGGUUCAGCUGGGAAAAACUACAUUUCCACUGCUGUUUUUUUCUUUAUACCCAUGCCUCCAACUGCAUGGUGCAUAUAUAAUUUAUUAGUUUAUAAUGGAUUCCUGAGAGAAAGAAUAUUUCCAGUGUUUGAUAUCAAUCUCAAAAGUCAAUAUGCUUUUUUUGUAAUUAUUUAAUUCUCAAAAAAAGAAUGGUCAGGGCCUGGGAUUUAGCUCAGUGGUUCUGCCGCCUGCCUGGAAAGCGCAAGGACCCGAGUUCAAUCCCUGGUACCAAAAAAAUUAAAAAAAAAAAAUAAUGAUCAUCUCCUGGCUGCUGUGCCCUCCUACCCAGUGUUCAUUGAAUUUAUGAAAUUAUGGGUUAUUCUGUUGUCUUAGUUAUUUUCUCACUGCUGAGACAAUACCCAACAUCCACAACUUGGAGAAGGAGCGGUUUAUUUUGGCUCACACUUAGUCGAGGAUUCAAUCCAUUCAAUCCAUAGUUAGCUGGCUAUAAGCAGGGCAGAGAGACAUGGCAGAGGAGAACUGCUCAUGGCAUGGCAGGUGGGAAUCAGAGCUUGAGGAGGGAGGAAGCUAACCCUUCCAGGGCCUCGCCCACAGUGACCUACAUCCUUCAGUCAAGCUUCACUUCCUAACAUCGCAUUUAGCUAUAAACUCAUCAGUGGACUCAUCCUCUGCUGAGUAUCACAGCCCCAGGACCCAGUCACCUCCCCAAAGCCCCAUCAGUGAGGGCAUGAGCUUUGGGAGGCCAUCUAGAUAUAAUCCAUAGAAUUCCACCCCUGGACCCCUCAAGACUCUUGUGCAUCCCUUUGUGCAAAAUGCGUUCGGUUCAGCUCUAAGAUUAGCCAAACUCCUGACAGUUUCAGCAUUGCUUAAAAGUCUAAAUCCAAGUUUCCUCUAAGAUCUAGGCAGACUCAUAGCUGUGAGCUCCUGUAAAAAGGACAAGAAAGCGAAACACUUCCAACAUAAAAAGGCACAGGAUAAAGAGUCCCAUUCCAAAAGGGAGAAACAGGGAGCUGGAAAGGACUGGGACCAAAGCAAGACUGAAACCCAGCCGGAGAAACAUUAACUCCUUUAGCUCCAAGUCCAGUAACCUGGGCCAACUUCCCUGAGCCAUGAAUUCCAGUGGGCUUGGCUGACGUCCCAGCCCUGUCACUGCAGGUGGUUGCAGUCCUCAUGGUCUCUCUUUUGGGCUGGCUUUGCUCCUUUGCUCAUUCCUCAGGCGAGCCACAUUCCUGGCUUCUCCAAAAUCCUGGGUUCUCCACUGCACCUUUGGCUUCACACUCACAGCUUCACACCCUGCCCUCCUAGGGGCACACUGCCUGGCCUCCCUGGCCUUCUUCGGAGAUCUGAGUGGAAGCCUCACUGAACCCACAAUUCUUGCAUUCUGCAUGCAUCUAAAACCAGCACCAAGUGGAUGAGCCCAAGGUCUGCUGCCAGCUGGGGCAGUUGCUGAGCCCUUUUGCAACUUGCCAGUGGUUACAGAGGCCUCUGAGGGCCUGGAUGGCCCGGGCCCGGAUGGCCCGGGCCCCUGAACUGAAUGGGGGAAAUCAAAGUUACAGGGAUUCCUUCUCCAACAGAGUGCCUUGGGUCUCUCCUCUUCAGCCGGAGUCUAUAGCCUGCAAAGGGUGGGGCUUUCUGGUCCCUCAAAUCCCCUCAAGGCAUUUUCCUAUUGUCCUGUUGUAAAUUACUUGGGUUCUUUUGAAUGCUAAUCAUUUUAGCAACUAAGCUCUCCUCUGCUUAAACUUUGCAGGGCCAAACAUAAAACUGUUUAAAUCAUAGGGCCAGGGAUUUAGCUCAGUGGUUCCAGCACCUGCCUUGCAAGCGCAAGGUCCUGAGUUCGAUUUUUUGCGGGGGAGGGGACCGGGGAUCGAACUCAGGACCUUGUACUUGCCAGGGAGGUGCCAGAACCACUGAGCUAAAUCCCCAGCCCCCCAAAAACUUUUAAGUCAUUCAGCUAUGACUUUUGCUCUUGAUUCUCAAGGUAGAGCUGACUAAAAGCCCCUGACAGUCCAGUUCCUCUGUCUGAAGGCUGGAGUGCUGUGAAAUUUCCUCUGCCAGGUUAGUUAGUCUGCUACCUUUAAUCUCAGCCUCCUGAAAAGUCUCAGCACAUGGGUAAAAUGUAGACAGAUUUUCUGCUGGAGCAAAACAUUUAUCCUUUGGAGCCCAGCUACCAGGGGAGUCCUUCCUAACUGAAACCUCUUGAGCCUGGUCUUUAUCAGCUACAUCACUGUCCACAGUCUGGUCCAAUCAGAAUCUCCCACGAAGCUUGACUUAAAACAUUUGAGGGCUGAAGUUUUGGAAUAGGAUAGGGAAGACACAGGAGUCUGGAUUAGAAAUCACUUGUUUAGUGAGACUUUUACUUUUUCUUUACUUUGUUUUGUUUUAUAAUGCUGGUGAUUGAAUACUAGGCCUUGCACAUGGUAAGCAGACAUUUUAUUGCUGAGCUCUACCUACAGCUCCAGGAGAGAUUUAAAAUGGAUGGAGUCAGGUGUGGUGGUACACACAUAUGAUGCCAGCACUUGGGAGGUUGAAGCAGAAGGAUUUUGAGUUUGAACCAGGCUGGACUGCAUAGUUUGAAGCCAGCCUGAGCUACAUAGCAGUACCUUGUCUCACCCGCCGCCCCCCAAGCAAACAAAAAAUGAAACAGCCAAGCAUGGUUGCACAAACUUGUAAUCCCAGGAUUUGAGAGGCUGCUGCAAGAAGAUUGCUUUGAGUUUGAGGUCAGCCUGGACUACACACAGAGACCAUGUCUCCAAAACAAAACAAAACAAAGAAUGAAACAAUAAGACCAACAGAGGCUCAAAAGUCGGCCUAAUAUAAGGUUGGGGAUUGGAAACUGUAGGUGGUCAACCUUUAGGGUUAGACAGAGAAGAAUUAGGAAUUGAGUUAUGGUCUUCUCACCUUUUUUUUUUUUGGUACUGGGGAUCGAACUUGGGUCCUUGUGCUUGCGCAGCAGGCGGCGAAACCACUGAGCUAAAUCCCCGGCCAGGUCUUCUCACUUUUGUGGCCAAUCUCCUACUGAGGAUAACAUGAGUAUCCUCUAAAUUGGGUAAUUAAUGAAUCUUCUGCCAACAGAUAUUUAUUUUUAUUUCUUUUCUUUUUCUUUUUUCUUUUUGGUACCAGGAAUAGAACUCAGGGACUCUUGCCAGGCAGCAUUGUCCAGCUGAGCUACAUGUCUGGCACUACUUAUUUCUAUUUCAUGUAAAUUUUGUUCAUAAAAACCAGAGAAACUUUGUGUGCUGUUUUGCAUCCAGAGCUGUGAGCCAAGAUGGCCUCCUUGUUAACUUUUGACCACCCAGGUUCCCACUAUCUGGAGAAAAUGGUGGUGCUGAAUCUGGAAGGUUGAGAAGCAGAAUCUUGGCAGGAAGGAAAUGAGAUUUAACACAGUUUAAACUCAGACCAAUGACAAGUGAUGGUGGUGGCUGGGAGGUUAGGAGAGUGGGUAACAAAGAAAUAUAUAUAUAUUUUUUUGGUUGGGGAUUAAACCCAGGACUUUGCACAUGCUAGGCAAGUACCCUUCCACUGAACUAAAUCCCAGCCCUUUACCUCUUUUUAAUUAUCAGCAAUUCAUUGUGGAUGAUGUACAUGUUUUCUUCUUUUGUUUGUUUUUUGUUUUGUUUUGUUUUGAGACAGGGUCUCUUUCUGUAAUUCAGGCUGGCCUUGAACUCAUCAUGUAGCCCAGGAUGACUUCUAACUCCUCCUGCCCCAGCCUAUAGAGUGCUGGGAUUACAGGGAUACAUUACCCCACCCAGCAAUACAUUUUACAAAUAUAAAGUAAUGCACAGAAAAGAUCUCACUCUGUGUGUAUAAUGUGUAAUAUAUAUGUGGAGGGCAGUAAUGCACAUCUGUAAUUCCUGCAUUCACGAGGCUGAGGCAGGAAGCUCACCAUGAGUUAAUGGCCAACCUGAGCUACAUAAUGAGUUCAAAGCCAGUGUGGAGUAUGUAGUGAGAUCCUGUCCCAAAAAAACCCAAAAUGAAACAAAAGUAUAAUAUAUUGAUCUCUUCUGGUAUUUAAAAAUCUCUCAUCUUGAUUUGAUUUUGAUCCAUCUAAUCGUGAAUCUAGUUUUUUGCUCAUAUAAUGCUUUGUAUUUUUAUCAUGGUAAAAUACACAUAAGAUAAAAUCUAUUGUAACCAUUUUUAGUAUUCAAUGCAGUGGUAUUAAAUGUAUCCACAUUAUUGUGCAACUGUUAUAAGUGUCCAUCUCCAGAACUCUUUCGUCUUGCAAAACUGGAACUCUGUUCCCAGUAAACAAUAAAUCGCCCACCCUCUGGCACCCCCCAGUCUACUUUCUUUCUUUCUUUUUUGGUACCAGGGAUCGAACUCAGGACUUUGCGCUUGAGAGGCAGGCGCUGGAAUCACUGAGCUAACCCCCCCCCAGUCUACUUUCAAUCUCUAUGAUGUUUGAUUGCUUUCCAUACCUCACUGAGUCAUUCAGUAUUUGCCCUUUUCUAAGUAGCUUUGUUCACUUAGAACAAUGGCAGGAUUCAUCCAUUUUGUAUCAUGUCAGAAUUUCUUUCCUUUUUAAGAUUGAACACUAUUAAGUUUAUUCAUCUCUCCAUGAACACUUUGGGUGGCUUCUACCUUUGCCUUUUGUGAUUAGUGCUUCUGGGAAUGUGAGUGUGCAAAUAUCUUCACUUCUGUGGAUUCGGAUUCGGGUCCCUCAGGUAUACAGCCAGCAGGGAAAGUGCUGAUGCUCAUGGUGUUCAUUGUUCAGGUGUUAAUUUAUAAAGGAGAUGGGGUGAUGAUGUGGGCAUUCUGAUGUCAUGGAAACCAGAUUUUUAUUACUUAACGUUUUCCCAGAGAAGGGAACAUGCCACACCACCGUGUACUGUGCCACAUGACAUUGAGUGAGGAACAGCAGGUUUUGGUCAGGAGGCAGAACACAGGCGUGAGUUGAAUACGGUAUCCAGGCCAAAGCCUUUUGGAAUCCUUGGGCAAUCCAGGGAACAGCAAAGGCGAUCAGGGAUUGGCUGGUUUAAAUAACCCUGGCCAGUUGGAGGGUGGAGUGUGUUCUCUAGUGGCUCCAUACUUGGCCUGGGACAAUUGAGAGCAGAGUCCUGUGAAAGUGAAGGAGGAGUUGAGUGUGGCUGUGGACUGGGGCUAGUCAGUCUGCAGUGUGCUCACAGGCAUGUAGUUAUCUUCAGAGAUUAGCCAGCCUUGGGUAAGGCCAGUUCUCACUGGGUUUAUGAGGCCCUCAGUAUCAACACACCAAGAAAAAGGAAAAUAAGAAAUAUAGUUAAUAUAACUCACCUUGAGGUAAAUGUUUGUCAAGGAGACCUAUGCAGGAUCUAAGGAAAUCUAGAACCUGUGGUAUUUUUUAAGAAAAGUUUUUGGAGGAACAGCAUGUUUUCCAUAGUGGCUCUUCCAGUUUACAUUCCCACUAACAUUGCAUAAGAUCUGCAUUUUCUCCAUAUCUUCUAUAAUCUUUUUAUGCCUAGUGUUCCAUUUUCACAAUACUGAUAACAAUGGAACAUAAUAAAAUUUUUCUCUUCAAACUCUUGUUCUUUGAAUUUUUCUAAGUAACAUAAAUUUCAUGCAAAAGAUUAAAAAAAAUGCAAUCUUUAGCAUAAAGGUGUUAACACUUAUGUUGUUUUUUAUUGUGUGUGUGUGUUACACAGUAGCCUUCCUAAUAUAGAAAUUCUGAACUCUGAAAAAAGUUUUACUUGAAGUGGUAGAGGAAAAAGCAAGACUUUAUGACCGGUUGGCUCAGUGAAGUCCGUACUUCAAAAAGGCCUGGAUGAGAGGGGGAGGUUUUGUAUUGUAGUUUUAAGUUGGGAAGGGGCUAGGGGUGAGUGAAGCAGAAUUUUACAGAGGCAGAAGUUUUGAGCAGAUAAGCAGGUGUCACAAUUAACUUCACAAUUCACAAUUGCUAGAGGCUUUCUUUAGGAACAGGUUCACACAGCAUAACAGUUUAGGGCUAAUGUGACAGGAUGCACGUUGUGAAGCUAGGCUAACAGGACAUAUAAAAUGACUUCAGGGCUCACAGGAGUAACACGCAUUGUGAAGCUAGGCUAACAGGAUACAUAAAAUAGGACAACAGGAUUUUAGGGCUAACACAAAGAACAUACACUGGGAAGGGUAAGGUCCUGAACUCAAUCCCUGGUACCACAAAAAGAAAGAGAGAGAGAGAGAGAGAGAAAGAGAAAGAGAGAAAGAACAUUGUCAAAUGAGGCAUGAGGCUAACUGAAUUUAUAUUACAGGACUUUAGGACUCACAGAAAGAAUGCACAUUGUGAGCACUAAAGCUAACAGGAUAUAUAAAUAUUUUGGGGUGGCUCACACUGUGACGAUAUUUCAGUAUAAAGCAUCACCUGUUGGGAGGGGUUGUGGGUCCACUUGUUUCCGGAGAAGCAGGAGCAAAUAAGAGCCUGAGUGUUUUAAGGCCUAAGGGUUUAAAAAUUUCUGUAUUACUGAUGGGUGUGGAUUGAUAUUUCAUGGUGCUUUUGAUUUUGAUUCCCAUAAUAGUUAAUGACAUGGAGCACUUUUCAUGCACCUGUUUUCUAUUUUCUCCGUAUACCUUGUCUUCUGUGGAGCCCUCUCCAGUCAUUUGCCCAUUUUAGGAGCAGGCUGUCGGUUUGGUACUGGUGCUUGGAGACCUGGGUCUGCCCAACACCCACAGGGCUGACCUGUGGCUCCUGAGUCCCAGCCAUUGCCCAUCAGAGCUGCCAAAUCGAGGGACCAUGGGUACUGGCAGCACUGCCACGAGCUGUGCAGCAGGAGCUUUGAGUUGUGGGAGGUCAGUAUACGUGUGUAUUUACUCAUCUGGUGCAAACGUGGCCCCAUUACAGGGUAUGUGAUCUGAAAGUAUUUUCUCCCAAUGGAAGGGUCGCCUCUUCACUGUUUUGAUUGUGUCUUUAGGUGUGCAGGAAAUUUUAAUGUUGCUGCACUUCCAUUCCUUCUUUAGCUUUACUCAUUAUUCAAGAAAUACUUUCUACAUUUAAUGUUGCAAAGUAGAGCUUUUCCUCCUUAGAGUUUUAGUGUUAGCUCUUUUUAUUUAUUUUUUGAGUACUGGGAUUAAACCUAGAGUCUUCACACUGAGUUACAUUCCCAUCUUGUUUUUAUUUUUAUUUAUUUUCUUUGGUACCAGGGAUUGAGCUCAGGUCCUUGUGCUUGUGGGGCAGGUGGUGGAUUUUUUUUGUUUUAUUUUGGGAUGGGGUUGGACCGAGUUGUUAAAUUCUCCAGACUAGGCUCAAACUUGUGAUGUGCUUGCCUCAGCCUCCCUUGGUGCUGGGUUUAAAAGCUUGCAGCACCGUGCCAGGCUUAAGUUCGUUUUUCUAUGUGAUGUAACAAAAGCUCUGGUGGGGGUCAGGGGUGGGGGAGGAAGAGGUAGGACAGAAGAAAUAAAAGAUACUGGAAAGGAGACCAGGAAAUCAAAACUACAGAAAUGUGCCUUUAAGAAGACUACAACUUGUAGGAACCAGUGGAUGUUGCCCACAGUCCAUGUCAGCAUUCCUUUGGUUAAACUGAAACUCCUUCUCCGUCAGACCCAUCAUGCCCCAAAUCCCUCACAAACACUAAAGUCCAAAAAUUGGCUCAGUUGGAAAGCAAGGAUCAGGAGCCUGAUCCCAAGAUAAAGGAGCAGGUUGAGCAAACCCAGAGAAUAUUUAAGUUACCUAUUCAGGGGUUACCUAGAGAAUGGGCUGAGACCCUUCUUGGGGGUGGUCACUUUUGCGUAGGCUUUUUUAUCCCUGAAUGUGUCUCAUAUCUCUGAUGCCUGCACUCUGCUCUUGGGUGCACCCUAAAUCUCUAAUGAACACUUCCUGAGCGCUCUUGCUGAUGCAUCCUAAAGCCCCCCACCCCCAGGGUUCUGCAAACCUGCUACAACAGAGGGGGUUAAAUUAGUUCUUUCUUUGUUUCUUUCCUUUUAAGUUUUUUGAGACAGUGUCUAACUGUGUGGUCCGGGCUGGCCUUGAACUCAUGAAGUUCCUCCAGCCUCAGCCUCCCAAGUGCUAGGAUUAGAGGUGUACACCACCACUCCCAGUGGUUAAAUUCCUUCUUUCAGGGGACCCUCAGACCCAAUCUUUAAGGCCUGAGGUCAUUGUUCUUUUGCUUUGGUUUUGUGGUACUGGGGAUUGAGAUGCUCUUUUUAAUUUUUUAAAAUUUUAAUAUAUUAGCUAUAUCCCCAGCCCUUUUAUAUUUAAAUUUGAGUCAGGAUCCCACUAAACUGCCCAGGCUGGCCCAGAACUUGCUAUCUUUCUGCACCAGUCUCCUGAGUAACGUGGAUUGUAGGCAUACACCAACCAUUGCUCCCAGUUCUAACUUCAUUAUUUUCAUGUGGAUAUCUGAUUUUCCAACGCCAUAUGUGGAAAAGAGAUUCCUUUGUCCGUUAUUGGUUUUGGCACUUUUGUUGAAACCCUUGGCCCAUGUGCAGUGGUUUGUGUUUGUGCCCUCUGUUAUCUUCCACUGGUGCAGGUACUUUGCUCUUUUGUGCAUGGUAGGGGGGCAGGAUCUUGUGCUUCACUUCCUAGGCAAGUGCUGCUCCACAGAAAUGCAUCACCAGUGUCCAGGGGUGGACUCCACUGCCAGGGAGGGACCCAGCAUUUCUCUUUCUAAGCCUGCCGCAGGAAUACCAGUGCCAGAGUGGGAAGCCUUACAUGUUGUGUGUUUAGUUAAGCAAUUCCCAAAGGUAGGAAAGACCAACUAGUGGAGAGCUGCUCAGGUACAGGUUGGGGAAAUCCAACAGACCAAAUCCUUGCCAAUGCCUGUGCAGCCUUGCACAUUUGUCUUUCAAGACCUUUUGCCCUUAUCACCUGCUGUGAAUUCUUGAUGUGUGAGUGUCUUCAUUAUUGAAGUAUAUUCCUAAUGUAGUCUGUUCACCUGUCUUGGUUGCUAUGUACUUUUUUUUUUUUUUUUUUUGGUACCGGGGAUUGAACUCCGGUCCUUGUGCUUGCGAGGCAGGCGCCAGAACCACUGAGCUAAAUCCCUGGCCCUGGUUGCUAUGUACUUUUGCCAGACAUACAUCUUGAAAAUUUUUUUCUGUACCAUAUACUUGUUGUUGUUUUUUUAACCAUUUACUUGUUUGCUUAUUUGGUACAGGUAAUAAAUUAAAAAGGCAUAAAGUUAAAACAAAAAUCACAGAGAUGAAACAGUGAACAGUGGAAAGUCCCUUCUCACUUCGUCCUCUAGCUUUCUUCUCUGAUGUCAGGACCUUUUUGAUCAGUUCUUCCUUUUUUUCCUCUGUUAUUUCUUCUUUUUCUUUUUAAGACAGGGUCUCACAGUGUAGCCCAGGCUGGCCUCGAAGUCACAGUGAUCCUCCUGCCUCAGCCUCCUUAGUGCUGGGACUAUGGGUGUGUGCCACCACGCCCGGCUUCCUCUGUUAUUUCUUAUUUCAGAGCAGUUCUAAAUUUACAAAAAUAUUUCAAAUAUUGGAUAUACCUCACACAAAAUUAAACCUACAAUGACAAUUUAUAUUAGUCUCGUAUAUUUAUUACAAGUAAUGCCCCAAUAUUGGUACAUUAUUAUUAACUAAAGUUCGUUCUUGAUUCAGAUAUAUUCAUUUUCUCUAAAAUUUUCUAUUCUGGAAUGUAAUCCAGGGUAUCACAUUACAUUUAGUUACCCCCAUGUCUCAUGUCUCAUGUCUCAGUUCACCCUGGCUAUGCCAAUUGCUCAGGCUUGCUUUAUUUAUUUAUUUAUUUAUUUAUUUAUUUUUGGUACCGGGGAACGAAGUCAGGAUCUUGAGCUUGCGAGGCAGGCAGUGGAACCACUGAGCUAAAUCCCUGGCCCUCAGGCUUUAUUUUUUAUGCUUUUAUCCAUUGUAAUUACUGGUUAGAUGAUUGUAAAAAUCUCUUUCACUAAGGAUUUUAAAACACUCCUCUGUAAUUCAGAUAGCAGAAAAUUCAUGCUUUUUACAUUCUUUUUCUGUGGUGCUAGGUAUUAAACUCUAACCUGGCAAGCUCUACCCCUCAGCUACAUGUCCAGGCUGGAAUUCAUACUUUUAAAUCACACAAUUCAGUCUGGUUUAGAAUAUGAGCAGUGUUUUUCGAACCAUCCUCAUAACUGGGCUUGGUGACACAUACCUGUAAUUCCAGCAUUCUGGACACUGAAGCAGGAGAGUCACCAUGAGUGCAAGGCCAGCUUUGGCUAUAUAGUGAGACCUUGUCUCCAAAAAAAAAAAAGAAAAGAAAAGAAAGGAAAAUCACCUUAUUAGCAAUCACUCCUUAUUCUUUUUCCACUCCCUAAGAAUCAUAACAGCACUUUCUGACUUUCUGUCUGUAUGGGCCAACCUAUUCUAAACAUUUCAUAUGAAGGGACUCAGAUAACAUGUGAUCUUGGGGUUUGCAGUUUUCGCUUAGGGCAUGUGUUCAUAAUAGUACAUUUGUGUUGUAGCAUAAAUCAUUUAUUUUUAUGGCUGAAUGAUACUGUAUUACCCAAAUACAACAAACUAUUUACCCUUUUAUCAGUUCAUGAAUCACUUAGGUGUUUCUCCUUUUUUGGUACUGGGGAUCGAACUUAGGUCCUUGUGCUGCCAAGGCAGGCAGCAGAACCACUGAGCUAAAUCCCUGGCCCCUGUUUCUACUUUUUGAUAAUUAUGAAUAGGGCUUCUCUGAAAGUUCAUGUACAUGUUUUUGCCUGGAUGUAAUUUUUCUUUUCAUUUGGGGAUAUAGUUAGGUUAUGAAUUAUAGUUUUUCUGGUAACUUAAUGAUUAUAUUUUUAGUUUUGCCAAACUCUAUUUUAAAGUAGAUGUACUAUUUUACAAUUCUUUUUUUUUUUUUUU